CCUCGCGUCCCCCCGCGCUCCGCCGCCAGCACCAUCGGCACCGAAUGGCAACGGCGCGCCCGGCACGGGCAGGGCGUGCGCCGGCCGCGGUCCCGGGCGCGCCGCGGGCGGGCGGGCGGGGGCCGGGCCGGGCCGCUGGCCCCGAGCCGGGCCGGGUCGGGCCGGGCGAGCCGGACCGCGGCCAGCGGAGCGCGGCCCCGCGCCGGGCGCGCGCAUGCCCGGCGCGGCCCCGUGAAGCACUAGAUACAACAAUGAGCCGCAGCUGCCCCAUCUCCGGCGACAGGCACUGAUUGCUUCCUGGAGCAGGAGGACAUCUGCUACGAAUCUCAGCUGAACACCAACCAUACAAUAUGUAUUGUAAUCUACCUGGUUGUUCUUAACAGGCAUCGAAUAAACACAGUCUUGGAACGUCAAAUUCCAAGGCCAGACAUUACAAUAAAAGAUCGGCAAACUCGCUUUAGCCAUAGACUGCGUAAAAGUAAAAAAAAAUAAAUCAUGUACUAAUAAAAACUCAA